rnacentral:rRNA from 1 species
UUGAACGCUGGCGGCAUGCUUUACACAUGCAAGUCGAACGGUAGACCCUUUCGGGGGUUGAGAGUGGCGAACGGGUGAGUAAUGCAUCGGAACAUACCCAGUCGUGGGGGAUAACGUAGCGAAAGUUACGCUAAUACCGCAUGAGUCCUGAGGGAGAAAGCGGGGGAUCGCAAGACCUCGCGCGAUUGGAGUGGCCGAUGUCAGAUUAGCUAGUUGGUGGGGUAAAGGCCUACCAAGGCGACGAUCUGUAGCGGGUCUGAGAGGAUGAUCCGCCACACUGGGACUGAGACACGGCCCAGACUCCUACGGGAGGCAGCAGUGGGGAAUUUUGGACAAUGGGCGCAAGCCUGAUCCAGCCAUGCCGCGUGAGUGAAGAAGGCCUUCGGGUUGUAAAGCUCUUUCAGACGGAAAGAAAUCGGGCGCGUGAAUAGCGUGCCUGGAUGACGGUACUGUCAGAAGAAGCACCGGCUAACUACGU